UACAGAGGUCUCGAGCGUUGUUCGGAUUCAUUGGGCGUAAAGGGCGCGUAGGCGGCGGGGUAAGUCUGGUGUGAAAUCUCGGAGCUCAACUCCGAAAUUGCACUGGAUACUGCUCUGCUAGAGGGCUGGAGAGGAGAUCGGAAUUCACGGUGUAGCAGUGAAAUGCGCAGAUAUCAGGAAGAACACCCGUGGCGAAGGCGGCUCUCUGGGACGGUACUGACGCUGAGACGCGAAAGCGUGGGGAGCGAACAGG
rnacentral:rRNA from 1 species